CUGGGUUUGAAAUCCCCACUAUUGAUUUGGUUCAGAUCUGGAGAGAGCUCUUAUGGACUCUAUGUUCCAGGUGCUGGGCUAGGGAGGCCCUGAGACAAGGCCCUCGACUUCAAGGCACUGCCAUGAGGCAAAGAACUUGACAAAGGCAACACCAAGAUCAUUUGCAUUCAGGGAAGAAGCCAUCCCCCAUCCUGUCCAUUUACACAGGCAAAAUGUGUCCCAAGACUUGGAUUUAAAAAGCUCUCAGCAACCGCCACAAGUUUUAUGCAACCAAAGAGGAAUGACAACAAACUCAAUAAAUCAGAGGAAAGAAGAGGGGUCUGUUCCCUUCCCCUGAUGCUCACACUAUGCCAGUUACAAAAUACUUCAUCAAUUUGUGCAAUUUCCUUGGAACUCUGAACACCCUGAGUUCAUAAAACUUAAUUCUGUGCUAGAAGAAAGAUGAAUCUUACAUAAACAAGGUUGCACUUGGGAAGGUGGGAAAAUCCACACCUGUUCUACUCUCCCCCUUCCACACAACUCACCUGUCAUCUUCCUGUGCCUCUUCAUUGCAAAACCAGCAUCCCUCUCACGGUUGGCUAUGCACAAAAUAUCCUUCUGUUCUCCUAGUCACAUCAAAGCACCUUCACGCUAUGCAGACAGGUCAUCGAGGGAAUGGAGAAAAUUAACAAACCCACCCAGGUUAUUUCUAUUAAAAUUAGCCCCUCAGCCUGUAGGCUCUGUCAGUUUCCAUAGAACACAACUCUGACAAAUCUG